rnacentral:rRNA from 1 species
UACGUAGGGGGCGAGCGUUGUCCGGAGUUACUGGGCGUAAAGCGCACGCAGGCGGUCUGCUAAGUUUGGAGUGACAGUUGGUGGCUCAACUGCCAAAGUGCUUCGAAAACUGACAGACUUGAGGGCUUCAGAGGGACACGGAAUUCCGGGUGGAGUGGUGAAAUGCGUAGAGAUCCGGAGGAACACCAAAGGCGAAGGCAGUGUCCUGGGGAGUACCUGACGCUCAGGUGCGAAAGCCAGGGGAGCGAACGGG